rnacentral:rRNA from 1 species
UAGGGAAUCUCCCACAAUGGGCGCAAGCCUGAUGGAGCAACACCGCGUGAGUGAAGAAGGGUUUCGGCUCGUAAAGCUCUGUUGUUGGAGAAGAACGUGCGUGAGAGUAACUGUUCACGCAGGGACGGUAUCCAACCAGACAGUCACGGCUAACGACGUGCACGCAGCCGCGGUAAUACGUAGGUGGCAAGCGUUAUCCGGAUUUAUUGGGCGUAAAGCGAGCGCAGGCGGUUGCUUAGGUCUGAUGUGAAAGCCUUCGGCUUAACCGAAGAAGUGCAUCGGAAACCGGGCGACUUGAGUGCAGAAGAGGACAGUGGAACUCCAUGUGUAGCGGUGGAAUGCGUAGAUAUAUGGAAGAACACCAGUGGCGAAGGCGGCUGUCUGGUCUGCAACUGACGCUGAGGCUCGAAAGCAUGGGUAGCGAACAGG